rnacentral:lncRNA from 1 species
AAGAAGAUGGCGUACAUCUACAAGGCUAAGGUUAAGAAGAAUGGAUCUCAUUACCGCUGCAUUUGGGGAAAGGUUUGCCGGCCUCACGGUAACAGCGGCCUUGUCCGAGCCAAGAUGAAGUCCAACCUGCCCCCCAAGUCAAUGGUAAUACUAACUGUACUGAUGUUCCUUUAUUUAUUUUUCCUAUUUGGUUUGCUAUUUGUUUUUCUUAAAUGAAUGUUUCUGUAUUUUGAUAUUUCAGGGAUCAAGGGUUCGGGUCUUCAUGUACCCAAGCAAUAUUUAAGGUAUUCUUUAUCCGCUUUUUUGAAAAUUUUCCAAGGUUAUGUUUAUGGUUGCUUUUUGGUGAAAAUUUUGUUACCUAUACUUUUCAGUGAGAUGUUUCUUUUGCGAUAUCUGAAUUAGAGUUUAAUAAUUUGGGUCGUUUACAGGAUGCUCUAACUUGUAGAGUUUGGUAUUUUGAGUAACUUCCAAGGUUGGUCGAUAUUUGGAGUUGAUUUUUUGGGUUGGAGUCUGUAUAUAUAGAUAUGUGGUCGCAAUUUACUUUUGUUCCUCAUAUUGCUUUCAUGAGUGCUUUCCCUUUGACAAUGAUGUGUGCUUGUACUAAUUUUUGAAGCUUUCUUUGUUAGAAUGGUUGUAAGGAGGAGCUGGUCUUUGUGAAGAAUUUGCUUGAAGUUUUACACAUCCGUCUUUAUGCAAUACUAAAAUUUGUAGGCUUAUAGAGCUCAGCUUGAGUAGCGGAUGGUUUUACCAGAUUUCUUGUGUUGGAGUUGAGUUUUACCAGAUUUAUAGUUAUGGCUUAAAUUUUCAGACAUGCAUCAUUUUAGUGAAUGAUGAGGUAAUAUGGAGAAGUUUUUCAUGAGAACAGUUUGUGUGGUUACUGGUGAACAUGACCAAAAAAUGUGGGUGGAGGGAGAGCGAGCAAGAUGCGGAUCUUAAGACUAUACAGAGGAUGUCAAUCAUGCUUAAAAUUGUUUGUGUUGCACAAUUCAUCCAAAAUAUGGCUGUUAGAUAUGCAGAAUUGAUGGAGAUUUGUGUGCACAACAUGUGGGGGGUGAAAGGGACAGAUUUUGUUAAUUUUCAUGAGGGGACUUUGAUUUGUUAAGUAAUAUCCCCUCCACAUUUCAGGAAGCAUGUUAGAAAAGACGGCACUGUGGCUAGUUUCCAAGUAUUUUGAAACUUCCCCAGUGUAAGUUAUCCAAAGUUACUGCAGACACAGUUGAAAGCAAUUUUGUUGAUCGGCACAGAUUUAUCCUAAUUUAAUAUAAUGAGUUAGAUUAGCAUUCAAUAGCUUUAAGUUGACUUCUUUUUGGACACAGUUUGAUGUUCUGCUGUUGGGGCACUGAUGUGUAAUGUUUAGCUUGCGGCGGGUUUCUCAUAUGCAUGUAUGCUACAUUUUCCAUGUUUGACCUGUUCCAUCUGGCUAUGACUAGAAGCUACUCCUGAUUUUUGUGAUCAUUAUCGUUUCUACUGUUUCCAUUCUUAGUGUUGCCAUGAAUUAGGUUUUGUUAAAUUGGUAUGGAGUCGUUUUUGACUAUUUGCUUGGCUACUAGUCAUUUGUUUGGACAUUUACAGUUUUCUUAUGUUGUUGCAGUGUUCCAGCAAAAGUAGGAGCAGACUGCUUGAGGUCAUUGGUGGCUUUAGAAGGUCAUUGGUGAUUGAAGGACGGUAUUUAGAGUCAAAAUAUACCCCUUUUUUUGUGGACUUACCCUGGUCUCUGAAUUUAUCAUGUUUGUUUAAUACUAUGAAUUGAACUUGCAAUCUGAUGAGGCAAAUUUUGAUUGUUUGGAUUUAUCCUUUUUCACUUGGGUGUUUUUGAUCGUUAGUCAACCAGAAUUAUUGUUGAUUCGUCUCUUCAUGAUGUGACUGUGGGUAUUGUUUGAGGUUAGCUUCCUUCUGAUUUUCUCGAUAAUUUGCUGUCGAUCAAAUCAGUUGGGAACGUUCCUACCCGGUUCCUGUUUACAUCUGGGAUGCGAAUCUGUUAUCGAUAGCUCUUCUUCCUCGACUUUUUCCCAAGAAAAUAGUUGAACUGAAGAGACUCUAUAGUGAAUAAUAAGUGCGGCUUCUUAAUUCUUAUACUGGAAGGUAUGUCUGCGUCGGUAGGUGGUUUUUUUUUUUUUUGGCCCGCUUUCGAACUCUUUUACCUCUUUCUUUGGACAAUUUCUUAACAGGUUAAUUACCUUUACCUCCCUCAAAUUUUUUCUGUAUUUCAAUCAGCCCCUUAGGUGUGAUCAAAUUACAAAUUCAUCCCCCCAAGAUCAAAAUUUCAAACUAUCACACCCUUACCAUUUGUACUAUAACGUUGACCACAUAAUCAUGUUUCCACUAAAUGAGCAAAGAUUUAUCGUGAAAGUCCUAAAAUGUCCAUGUAAACCCGAAGUUCUUCUUUUCCUGUGUUUUCAUGCGCAAUUAAGUGGACCUUGGAGAUAAAAAUUAUGGAGGCGCCUCCAAGCCAAGUGCUUCGAUUUGGCAAUAAUACAACAAAAUUUCAAAGAAAUUUCACUAAAAUAGAUCACAAUUCUUCUAGGAAAUAAAGGAAAAUUAAGUUUAUCAAAAUUUGAGAAGCCCAAAGAAUUUGUUCCAAAAUUUUAUGAAAAUAUAAAGGGAAAAAAAAUAAAUGAUUUACAAAAUAAAGGACAAUAAGCUAUUAGUUCUUUGGAGCAAGUCUUAAACGGUACAUGCAAACUAGGGAAUAGGAUAAUCUCAAGGGAAAAAAAAGGAAAAGAGGAAUGAGGUUUAAUAGAUGAUUUUUGUAAUUUCACCGAAACAUGCAUACCCAAGCACUCAAAUUGCCGAUCUACCAUAAUCUUCAUCAUAUCCAUCUCAAACACCAUAAAAUCUUCAGAACAUUUAGGGUGAAUUAAAAAUAAAUUCUAACAGGCUUUCAAAUUUAUCCAAAAUUUAGUUUAUCGUGGUAUGAUUUCUCAAUAUUGUAUGCUUUUUUGGGUUUUGUGUAUUUCAAUGGAGGCUAGAAAAAGACGGGAGGGCAGAAGGUUAGCGGGUGUCUUGGUGAUUGGUGAAGCAUACUUUGCAAUCAGAUUUUGCAGCAUCCCAGACUACAAGGGGUAAGAUCGAGGGGCAUGAAGGUAGGAUCUUGAGAGCUUGGACAAUAUAUCAAGAAUUGUAGGGAUGGAAGAAUUCUUCAGUCUUUCUUUGUUCUUUCUUCCUCAUUGAUUUUUUUCUUCUAGCCCCUGCUUGUUUCUUUGAAGCAAAAUUCUCUGUCUUUGGUUUCUGGUAGCUCAUUUACUAAUUUCAUUUUUGGCAUGUUUUAGAUGACGGUAUUGUUGUACCUUUGUAACAUCCGUUAAUUGGGUUUAAACAGUGUCAUUUGUAUGGGGUGAUUGUUAUUUGAUUAAAACUCAAGGUUUAUUUUGUAGUUUGGCUGAACCUCCGAGGAGUUGUAUGUAAUUAACCCUUCCUUAACCUUAAUCUUUUCUAGUUACUAUUUCGUUUCCUUAAAAAUGAUGUUAAAAAUCAAACUGUCUGCAUUGGCAUCCAAGAAUGUGAGAAUAUGGGGUUAUUUUGAUGGGUAAAAACUCGAGUAAAUUUGGUUUUCAAAAAUUCAAUGAUUCAGACUGCGUCACUUUUCGAAUUAUUUGCAUUCGCAUCAAAGAAUAUGAGAAUGUGGGGUUAUUUUGAUGGGUAAAAGUUGGGAUGAAUUUGGUUUUCAAAUAUUCAAUGAUCAAGAUUGUGUCAUAUUACUUGGUAAGCGAGGUGACACAAUUUAGAUUAUUGAAUUUUUGAAAAUUACAAGUGAUUUAACAUAAUUUAGAUCAUUAAGGGCGUGUUUGGAUCCCUUGUUUUUAAGGCCGUUUUUGAAAAACUAUUUUUCACAUUUCAAAUGUUACAGUAAAUGUAUAUUUCCAAAACAAUUCCAAAAACAACAUAUCCAAACAUUAUAUCAAAAACAACUACAUAUCUAUAUUUCAAUUAUGUAUAUUAUAUAUAUAUAUAUAUAUAUAUUAUAUUAAUAUAAAUUGAAAUAUACAAAUUGAAAAUUAUAUAUAUAUUAUAUAUAAUAUAAAUAUUUAUAUAAAUUAAUAUUAUACAUAAUAUUGUAUAUUAUACAUAAUAUAAUAUAAUAUACAUAAUAUGUAAUAUUGUACACAUAAAUGUGUAAAUAUUUAUACAUAAUAUAUUAUGUACAUUAUAUUAUAAUAUAUACAUUAUUAAUGUAUAAUAUUAUUAUGUACAUUAUUGUGUAUAAUAAUGUUAUGUAUAAUAUAUAAUAUACAUAAUAUGUAAUAAUGUAUAUUAUGUAUAAUAUAUUAUAUUAUGUAUAGUAUACUAUAUAUAUACAAUAUUAUGUAUAUUAUACAAAUUGAAAUUUAUAUAUUAAAUAUUAUAUGCAUAUUUAUAUAAUGAAAUAUACAAUAAACAUUACAAAUUGAAAUAUUAUAUAAACACCAUAUUUAUAAUAUUAUAAUCUUUAUAAUUAAUAUUAAUGUAUAUUAUAUAUAUUAAAUAUUUAUAUAUUUAUUUAUACAUAUUAUAAAUAUUUUUAUAUAUUUAUAUGAGUAUUAUAUAUUAUAUAAAUUAUAUAUAAUAUAACAUAUAUUACAUAUUAUAUAUAUUAUACAUUUAUAUAAAUGUACAUUUAUACAUAAUAUAUAUAUUAAUGUAUAUUUAUAAUAUACAUUUAUAUUAUGUAUUAUAUAUAAUAUAAUACAUUUGUAAUACAUUUAUACAUUUAUAUUAAUAUACAUAAAAUUAAUUUUAUAUUUACAUAAUAUUAAUAUAUUUGUACAUUUAUAUUAAUUAUAUUAAUACAUUUAUACUUAAUAUUAAUAUAUAUUAAUAAAAUUAUAAUUUAUAUAUUUAUAUAAUAUUCAUUUAUAAUUUAUACAUUUAUAAUAAUAUAGACUUAUACGUUUAUAAAUAUAUUUAUAUUAUGUAUUAUAUAUAAUAUAAUACAUUUAUAUAUUUUUAUAUAAAUACAUAAAUAUAUUUAUUUAUAAAUAUUUAUAAAUGUAUUAUAAAUGCAUAAAUAUAUAUUUAUAUAAAAAUAUAAAAUUUAUAAUUUAUAAUUUAUAAUUUAUACAUAUAUAAUAUUCAUUUAUAAUUUAUACAUUUACAAUAAUAUGCACUUAUAUAUUUAUAAAUAUAUUUAUAUUAUUUAUUAUAUAUAAUAUAAUAAAUUUAUAAUAAAUUUAUAUAUUUUUAAAUAUAUUUAUUUAUAAAUAUUUAUAAAUGUAUUAUAAAUGCAUAAAUGUAUAUUUAUAUAAAAAUUAUAAAUUAUAAAUUUUAAUUUAUACAUUUAUAUAAUAUUCAUUUAUAAUUUAUACAUUUAUAAUAAUAUACACUUAUAUAUUUAUAACUAUAUUUAUAUUAUGUAUUAUAUAUAAUAUAAUACAUUUAUAUAUUUUUUAGAGAAUAUAUAAAUAUAUUCAUUUAUAAAUAUUUAUAAAUGUAGUAUAAAUGCAUAAAUGUAUAUAAAAAUUAAAAAUAUAAAUUAUAAAUUAUAAAAAUACCAAAAAAUAUGUUUUAAAAAUACCUCUAAAAAUAAUCCAUAAAACAUAUAUAGUAAAAGUUUUUCAUAUAGUUUUUGAAAAACAACUCCAAAAACAACUAAUCCAAACGGACUUGUAUUUAAAAAACAAAAUGCUACAGUGCUGUUUUUGAAAAACAACCCCAAAAACAGCUAAUCCAAACAGAGCCUAAAUUUUUUAAAAUUGGAUCUACUCAAGUGUAAGUAAUUUUAACAUGGAUCAAUCUUCUUCUUGUGGAACGACUUGCAGGGGUAUCUUGGUUCUUUAUUUUUUCUUCUUUUGGAUAACUGUCAAAUUUUACAUUUCCGACUUUUUUAUUGUGCUUAAUGUUGGCCUAAUCAGCAACAUCCCUCAGAUCCCGGCUCGAAGGGACUAACCGCCCAGCCCGUGGCACCCAGGGGUGCAGCCCCUCAUGCUGGCCGAGCGUGGUACGGUGCUUUGCGCUGCCAUUGUGGUUAAGGAAAUAAAGUUGCGCCUUCGCUAACAGCUAUAACUUUUGGUGCAAUGGUAAGCGCUUGAUCCUGACACUUAAGUUGUCCAUUUAUCCUUGGAUCAUUUUGCUUACGGAGCAUUGGCCGUCCCCAAGAAAAAGUCCAGCACCUCGAGAACUUGGAACAGCAAAAUCCCGAUGGGGCGUGCAGAAUGGUAGGCCUUUGAUGGAUGAAGGCCCGUCAUCCCCAACUAGGGCUGCAAACGAAUCGAGCCGCUCGCGAGCGGUUCGAGUCAGUCAAACUCGAGCUCGAACUCGAGCUAAGAAUAUUAAACUCGUUAGCUCGCGAGCCGGCUCGCGAAUUUGAGUAUAUAUAUAUAAAUAUAUAUAUUAUUUUUAUUUUUAUUUAAUGAGUAUAUAUAUAUAUUAUUUUUAUUUUUAUUUAAUAAUAAAAUUAUGUAUAUUACAUAUAUAUUUUUUAUUUUUUAUUUUUAUAGUAAAAUUACGUAUAUAUCCUUAAUAUUUUAUUAUUUAUUCAGAAAAAAAUAUUAUUUUAUUUAUUUUUUAAAAAAUAAAAUAUUUAUUUUUUAUUUUUUUCGAGCUCGACUCGAAUCACUUGAACUCGAGCUCGAAAAUUGCCGGCUCGUCGAGUUUGAGCUUGAUAAAAUUUAGUCGAGUCUCGGCUCAAUUAGCUCAAAACUCGACUCGACUCGACUCGUUUACAACCCUAUCCCCAGCACACCAAAAAAAGAAAAAAAAAAGAAAAGAAAAGAGCAACAAAUGAUUUGAAGAGAAAAGUGAGGUAAGGAAGCGCGUUAAAAGUGACAUUGUGAAAGAGGAAGCGUUACCAAUUUGUUUCGGGCCAGAUUUUAAUACCAGUAUGAGCCCUUUAUGUGUUACUCUGUUUAUCCCGUCGCGUUCUGAUGUUUGUUGGAGUAAAAUGAAAUUUGGUUCACAAAGAAUCAAGCAGCCACGACACAUUUUACUAUUUGAGCCGGUUGCUGUUACUUACACACAUUAUCAAAUACCAAAACCAAAAAAUAAAAAAGGAAAAAAAUGUGAUUUGAUAGUGAUUUUCUAUCAUAACCAUCCCCAUUUAUUUGAUUGAGUGACGUAUUUUUGAUUUUAUGUUUUAACUGGCUAGUUUUUCGAUUAAUUUUUGCAAAAAAAAAAAAAGACAUUUGGGAUUUUGCGCGAGGUCUCUUUCUUGCCAUAGGAGCUAAGCUAUACUAGGUAGGUUAUCUUUAUAUUUUUUAUAACAAUAUUAAUAUAACUAUUAUUAUUAUUAGUAGAGAAGAUGUGUGAUUUUAAAUUCUAGCCUCUGAACCUUAAUCACUUUGAAUCAAAAGGACAUCUGAAUCAUGACCUCUUAUCCUUAACCCCCUAGACCAAGGAGUUUGAACUCUAGUUUUGAUAUAAAUUUUUGUUUGUUGUACCCCUAUAUUUUACCUUGAAAAUUCAUUGGCAAAUUAUAUUGAUUUUGUUAUCUAACAAAGUUGCCUUUACACUUGCAACGAAGAACCAAAUUUAAUUCUCUCACUAGAAGUUUAAGGGCAUGUUGUUAUAAUAUAACCAUCAUAAAAAUUGUAACUAACAAAAUAAUUGUAAUUUGAUAGAAACAAAUUUUACAAGAUCAUAGUUUUGCCUCUUUUGUUAAAUCAAUUAUAAAAGGACAUUAUUUAUACGCAUAGUAGGUAAGCCCUUAACAAUAUUCCAAGUAAACUGAAAAAAAGGUGAAAGCGUCGUCUUGAAAUAAUGUUAAGCAUAAACAUGAUAGUUUACUAAGAAUCAACUGAUUAAAUUAACAUGAUUUGCUAAUGAAUGUAAUGUUGCUCACGUUUUAAAAAGAACAAACAGGGUUGCUGGUUGAUAUUUUCUUAUCAUUAAUAUUUAAUACCAAAUAUUUAGAAGCCUUUAUUCCUCAAAAUAAUAACAUCUGCAAUUAGGGGUGGGCACGGGUUGGAUACCCGUCCCUAACAUGAUUUGGCUAACCCGGCCUUAAUAUAUCGGAUCAGUCAUUUUGCGACUCUAACCUGCUCUUAAUGUUUUCGGGUACCCGAAUAGCAGGUAUCCCAAAAAAAGGGGACGGGUCAUAGGGUACCCGCCUCUAAAAAAAACUAUUUUCCAAUAAAAAAAUUUAUUUUUCACUUAAUAUCAACAUGUUUUUCAAUAAAGUUUAUAUAUCACCAUUCUCACACAUUUCAUCCAACAAUCAAAUCGAUCUAUAUAUCACUAACAUGAUUUGUUCUUUUUAAAACGUGAGAAACAUUACAAUCAUUAGCAAAAUUAUGUUAAUUUAAUUAGUUGUUUCUUAUUAAACUAUCAUGUUUGCACUUAACAUUAUUUCAAGAUGACGCUUUUACCUUUUUUCAGUUUACUUAGAAUAUUGUUAAGGGCUUACAUACUAUGCGUAUAAAUACCUUUUAUAAUUGAUUUAACAAAAGAGGCAAAACUAUGAUCUUGUAAAAUAACAUCUGCAAUAGCUAAUAAACAAUUUUUUAUUCCACAAAGCAUGUGAUUUUGAUAGUUUAGGAUUUUUUUUUUUGUCAAUCGUCAUUUCUACUCUUACUCUAUCAUAAUUUAUUUAUAUGGAAGGUUUAACUGGGCAUAUGAAGGACCGAUAGGAACAGAAUCGCCACCGGAUCGGAUGCUCUCAAUUUAAAGAAUCACAUGAUGUGGUAAUAAGUGGAAGUCAACUUCUAACCCUUGCCCAAUAUAAAUCGGAAAAUGAAAUGGCACCAGAAAACAAAUGAAUUUGGAAUGAAGACCUCUUGUACCCCUAUAUGGUAAGUUUCACCGCAACUCUUCUCGGACACCUCCAUAACUAGCUACAAGCAGCCCGAUCCCCCAGUCCCCGCCGCCCCUCACCACCCAUCAGAAAAUGGUUAAGGGAAGCCAAGGAGAGCGCGUCAGGUCAUCUAAUUUUCCGUCUCCCAUCUCCAUUUUCCCCUUAUUCCGUAAUUUCACUGAAUUUGAUUUUUCUCCCGAUUUUUUGGGUUUAACCCUGCAGGCUUUACGUGAGAGGAACUAUAUUGGGGUACAAGAGGUCGCAGUCCAACCAGUACCCGAACACUUCGUUGAUUCAGAUCGAAGGAGUGAACGCAAAGGAGGAGGUGGCUUGGUACCUCGGCAAGAAGAUGGCGUACAUCUACAAGGCUAAGGUUAAGAAGAAUGGGGGUUGGACUUGAACUUAGCUCGAACAACGCCGCCGUUACCGUGCUAAGUUCAAGUCGUGAGUAACAGCGGCGUGGUCCGAGCUAAGUUCAAGUCUGCCCCCCAAGUCAGUGAGCGGCGUCGUCCGAGCUAAGAGGUAAUAUUAACUGUACUGCUGUUCCUUUAUUUAUCAUUCCUAUUUGGUUUGCUAUUUCUUUUUCUUAAAUGAAUGUUUCUGUAUUCUGAUAUUUCAGGGAUCAAGGGUUCAGGUCUGUUAGAUUUAGUCAAUAUUAGCCAGUAAAUAAAAUCCCAUUGCAUUUGGGAUUCUUUGCUUUAGAAUAGGUCUUUCAGUUUAGGAGUUAGUUAGCAGGAGACUCCUUAUUUAUUGUAUUUUCUGUUUGUUUUGUACGGCUAUAUAUAGCCUAAAUAUUUCUCGUUCAAUCACAGAGAAUUCCUUCCACAUUUUUUCUUUCCUCUGCAAUACUCUUUCCUGUUAACCUUACAUCUGGUAUCAGAGCCUCGCAAGAGGCUCUAUACGUAGAAGCAGCAGUCUUCUAAGGGAGUGCAGGCCACGAAAAUGGCAACAGAGAGUGCCUUUAUUCAACCAGCAGUGCCGAGGUUCGAUGGUCACUACGAUCAUUGGGCAAUGCUCAUGGAAAAUUUUCUUCGAUCAAAGGAGUACUGGAAUGUGGUAGAAAAUGGAGUUUUUGCAGCAGCAAAGGGUGUGACUUUAACUGAGGCACAAAAGAAAAUUUGUGAAGAGCAGACGUUGAAGGAUCUCAAAGCUAACAACUAUCUGUUUCAGGCAUUAGAUCGUUCCAUUUUGGAGACUAUCGUCAACAAAGAUACGUCAAAGAGUAUCUGGGACUCUAUGAAGCAAAAAUAUCAAGGAACAACGCGAGUAAAACGUGCGCAUCUACAGGCAUUGCGAAAGGAGUAUGAAAUUGCUCACAUGAAGGAAGGAGAAUCUGUGAAUGAGUACAUUGCUCGUGUUCUUGUCAUCACCAACAAGAUGAAAGCCAAUGGCGAAGAAUUGAAAGAUGUUGCUGUUGUGGAAAAGAUUCUGAGGUCAACGACACCUAAGUUUAAUUAUGUCGUCUGUUCAAUUGAAGAAUCUAAUGAUACAAGUAUUUUGUCAAUUGAUGAGCUGCAAAGCAGUUUGCUCGUGCACGAACAACGCAUGAGCAACACUGUACAUGAAGAACAUGCACUGAAGGUGACCCAUGGAAACCAAUAUGCAGGACAAGGAAGAGGACGUGGGAGCUUUAGAGGCAGAGGCCGUGGAAGAAACAGACAAAGCUUUGACAAAGCAACUGUGGAGUGUUAUGCUUGUCACAAGCUUGGUCAUUUUCAGUGGGAAUGCAAGAAAGGAGUGGCCAAUUUUGCAGAGAGUCAAGUGGAGAGUGAAGAACACAUGCUGCUGAUGGCUUAUGUUGAAGAAAAGAAGCAACACAAAACAGACUUGUGGUUUCUUGACUCUGGGUGCAGCAAUCACAUGAGUGGAAAAAGAGAAUAUUUUUCCGAUUUUGAUGAAAAAUUCACAGAUUCAGUGAAGCUGGGAAAUAAUUCAAACAUGGUGGUCAAUGAGAAGGGCAACAUCAGGUUGGAGAUUGAUGGAGUUGUUAGCAUCAUCUCAGGAGUCUUUUAUGUUCCGGAAUUGAAGAAUAAUCUGCUGAGUCUAGGACAAUUGCAAGAGAAAGGACUGAGCAUUUUAUUCCAACAAGGGCAAUGCAAAAUAUAUCACCCUGACAAAGGUUUGAUCAUGAAAGCUAAUAUGUCUGCAAAUCGAAUGUUCAUCUUGCAUGCCAUCUCCUUGCCUAUAGCACCCACCUGUUUUAACAUAGUCACAGAAGAUGUAGCGCAGUUGUGGCAUUGCAGGUUUGGGCAUUUAAGCUUCAGAGGCUUAUAAAUCUUGCAGCAAAAACAAAUGGUGGAAGGUCUACCAUUACUCAAGCCACCCUCGAAGCUGUGCAAAGAUUGUCUUGUGGGGAAGCAACAUCGAGAUUCAUUUCCAAUGAAAAGUUCUUGGAGAGCAUCUCAGAUUCUGCAGCUAGUUCAUGCCGACAUUUGCGGACCAAUUAAGCCAGCCUCGAAUAGCAAGAAAAGGUACUUGAUUACUUUUAUUGAUGAUUUUAGUCGAAAAACAUGGGUGUAUUUUUUGACAGAAAAAUCAGAAGCUUUUAACAUCUUUAAGAGUUUCAAGAUACAUGUUGAGAAAGCAACAGAUAUGUCACUAAAAAUGUUGCGUACGGAUCGUGGUGGAGAGUUUACAUCUCGAGAAUUCAACAAUUUCUGCAAGGAACAUGGAGUGCAAAGAUAAUUGACAGCUGCAUAUUCACCACAACAAAAUGGCGUUGCAGAACGGAAGAAUCGGACUAUCAUGAAUUUGGUUCGUAGCAUGCUAUCUGGAAAGAAAGUGCCUAAAACUUUCUGGCCAGAAGCAGUAAAUUGGGCUGUGCACGUUUUAAAUCGUAGUCCAACGCUGGCUGUAAAAGACAAAACACCAGAAGAAGCCUGGAGCGGAAUCAUGUCGUCAGUUCAACAUUUCAGAAUUUUUGGUUGUCUCCUAUGCUCACGUGCCUGACAGCUCGAGAACUAAACUAGAUGAGAAAAGCUUGAAAUGUGUUUUACUGGGAGUUAGCGAGGAAUCAAAAGCGUACAGGCUCUACGAUCCUAUCUCACAAAGGAUUAUGGUGAGCAGAGAUGUAGUUUUUGAAGAAUGUGAAGAAUGGAAAUGAGAUAAGCAACAUGAAUUAGUCGUUACUUGGGAGCUGGAAUGGGAAGAUGAUGAAAAGGCAGUGACUGAAGAAUCUCUUAUAGAAGAAGAUGCUGCCAACACACGAUCAGAGGAGUCUCUUACCACUAAUCAAGAAACUCUUCCAGAUCCCGUGGAAGGGAGGAGUAGGAAGCAACCAACUUGGUUGAAAGACUAUGUUUCAGGUGAAGGUUUGUCUGAUGAAGAGGCAGCAUUUUUUGCCUCAUAUACAGCGGCUGCCGAUCCACUUAAUUAUGAAGAAGCAGUGAAGAAUGAAAAAUGGAGAAAUGCCAUGGAUGCCGAGAUUGCAGCCAUUGAGAAAAAUGGUACAUGGGAACUAAUCGAUCGACCAAAAGGAGUCAAAAUAGUUGGAGUCAAGUGGGUUUACAAAACGAAACUUAAUGAGAAGGGAGAAGUCGACAAGUUUAAAGCGAGGCUGGUUGUAAAAGGAUAUGCACAGCAAUAUGGUAUAGAUUACACAGAAGUGUUUGCUCCAGUGGCCCGUAUGGAGACUGUUCGAUUGGUGAUCGCUCUAGCAGCACAAAAAGGGUGGGCUAUCCAUCAAUUAGAUGUGAAGUCUGCCUUUUUACAUGGAGAACUAGUUGAAGAUGUUUUUGUUGAGCAACCGUGUGGUUACAUUCAAGAGGGAAAGGAGAAAAAGGUGUACAAGCUGAAGAAAGCUUUGUAUGGGCUUAAACAGGCUCCGCGUGCUUGGUACAGCCGUAUUGAAACAUAUUUCAUGAAGGAAGGUUUUCAAAAAUGUGAUUAUGAGCAUACCCUUUUUGUUAAACGAAACAUGGAGGGCAGCAUGCUUAUUGUAAGUAUAUAUGUUGACGAUCUUCUUUUCACAGGAAAUGAUGGUUUGAUGUUUACUGAGUUUAAGAACUCGAUGAAGAAUGAGUUUGAUAUGACUGAUCUUGGUAAAAUGAAAUAUUUCUUCGGUCUCGAAGUCUUGCAGAAAUCAGGUGGAAUUUUUAUAACUCAAAGAAAGUAUGCUCAGGAGGUGUUGCAACGUUUUGAAAUGAACCAAAGCAAUUCUGUUCAAACUCCAAUGGUUCCUGGUUUCAAGCUUUGCAAGGAUGAAGAAGGAAUUAAGGUGGACAAGACUCACUUCAAACAAUUGGUAGGCUGUCUUAUGUAUCUGACUGCGACUCGUCCAGAUGUGAUGUUUGCAGUAAGUCUUUUGAGCAAAUAUAUGGAGAAUCCUACUCAGCUUCAUUUACAACUAGCAAAGAGAGUGUUGAGAUAUUUGCAAGGAACAACUGAGUAUGGAAUUUUCUAUAAGAAGGGAGGAAAUGAUGAUUUUUUAGCAUACACUGAUAGUGAUUAUGCGGGUGACUUGGAUGAUAGAAGAAGUACAUCAGGCUAUGUUUUUCUCUUCGGUUCUGGUGCUGUAUCAUGAUCUUCUAAGAAACAACCUAUUGUGAGUCUGUCUACCACCGAAGCUGAAUUUAUUGCUGCUGCUGCUUGUGCUUGUCAAGCAAUUUGGUUAAAAAGAGUGCUCAAAACGCUGGAUCAGACUCAACAAGAGAAAAAUACUAUCCAUUGUGACAAUAGCUCUGCAAUCGAGCUCUCAAGAAACCCAGUUUUGCAUGGUCGUAGUAAGCAUAUAGAUGUUCGUUUCCAUUUCCUUCGAGAACUUGCACAGACAGGUAUGAUAGAGUUAGUUCAUUGCAAUACUUUGGAACAAAUAGCUGAUGUGAUGACAAAGCCUCUUAAGUUGGAUGUUUUUCUGAAGCUGCGUACUAUGCUUGGAGUUUGUGCAGAGAGCAGUAUAAACUAAAUUCGUUCAGCAUUUAGUUUAAGGGAGGAAUUGUUAGAUUUAGUCAAUAUUAGCCAGUAAAUAAAAUCCCAUUGCAUUUGGGAUUCUUUGCUUUAGAAUAGGUCUUUCGGUUUAGGAGUUAGUUAGCAAGAGACUCCUUAUUUAUUGUAUUUUCUGUUUGUUUUGUACGGCUAUAUAUAGCCUAAAUAUUUCUCGUUCAAUCACGGAGAAUUCCUUCCACCUUUUUUCUUUCCUCUGCAAUACUCUUUCCUGUUAACCUUAUAGGGUCUUCAUGUACCCAAUCAAUAUUUAAUGUAUUCUUUAUCCGCUUUUUUAAAAAUUUUCCAAGGUUAUGUUUAUGGUUGCUUUUUGGUGAAAAAUUUGUUACCUAUACUUUCAGUGAGAUGUUUCUUUUGCAAUAUCUGAAUUAGAGUUUAAUAAUUUGGGUCAUUUACGGGGAUGCUCUGACUUUCAGUGAGAUGUUUCUUUUGCAAUAUCUGAAUUAGAGUUUAAAUAUGAAAUUUUGACUCGCCACUUUUAAGAUCAACAAUUGAAUUAAUUGGUUUGUGAUUGUUUUAAAAUUUGAAAGUGUCAAUCGCUUACUUCUUUUGUCAUACUUUUCCUUCGUUUCUUUUUUCUGUUCAAAUUUAAUUCAAUAUAAACACUUGAUAAUAUUUAGAAUUAAAUGUUUUCUUUGUUUUCAAUUUUUGAAUAAAAGUAAAAUGAACAUGAGUAGAAAAUUAACAUUCUUUAAAACUCCUUUAUAUAUCUAUUUAAUUUUACUUGAAUAUUACAUUCAGACGAAAUCAAAUAAAGACAUAUUAUAUGCUAUUUAUAUUGUUCAUGUGAAAUUAAAUAGACAUAUAUACAUGAGUUACUUUUUAAAGUUAUUUGCAUAUAUGAUCAAUGAUGGAUAAAAAAAUUUAAUUUAUAAAAUAUGAGGGUCGAAACAAUUCAUUUUGUGAAAUGUGAAAUAUUAUCAAUCAGAUUAUGUAAAUUUUGAUUUGCUAAUUUUGUCCUUAAAAAUGAUCACGUGCAAAAGCACGUGGUGGAUUCCAAUAAAAAAACUAGAUGCAAAUUUAGGUAGAGAUGAAAUUUGACAAAUAUGAAUUUAUAAGGGACGUAAAAAUACACUUUUAAAAGUGAGAAAAAAAAAUUCAUUUUGCAAACAAUAAGGGGUGUUUUGAACGAUUUUUCCUAAAAAAAAAUAUAAAAUAUGCUAUGUUUUAUUGAUUUAUUUCUUUAAUUUACGGGUCUAUUAUUUCACAUGUUUUACAAGAAAUUUUCAUCAUCUGUAAUUAAAAAAAAAAUCAAAUCUCAAGCAACGUUUGGAUUAAUAAAAGGGUGCAAUUUUAAAGGAAAAGCAAAUAAAUCAAAGCAGAAAAAAAAUUGUCUAACCAUUUUGUUUGCGUUACUUAUACAAAAAAAAAAAAAGAAAAGAAACACCGAAUAUUCUGAAAAAGAAAGGAAAGAAUAGAUUAUGUAUAGUUGCAUUUUAGCUGUAACUGAAUAAAAUCUAAUUGUAAACAUACUUUAAUACUUUAUUUAUUUUUUGUGUAUUUUCACAUUCAUCUUGUUAUUGCUAUAAUAAAUUUAUGAAAUAAUAAUAUUUAGAUGAAAAUUUUAAUAUUUUUUUAAGAGAAAGAAAUUACAAGAAGUAUUAAAAUAUAAAAAAUUUUAAAAUGUUAACAAUCAUCGCUACGAAAUUUAGUAUUCAAGAUUUUCAAUUUUUUCAUGUUCAAAAUCAUGGUUAAUUUAGUACAAAUGACUAAAUUGUUUCUGUCCAUGUAAAUACGUAAUACUUCUUAAGUUGCAAGCAUAGUAAAGUUAUUUGAUCAUUCAUGAGACAAGUGUUGGGCCCAAAUGACUUACAGGGAAAACAAGUGCUAUUUUCAAAUAUUCCGGGGAGGGUAGCGAAAUUGAUAGAAAUCUAAAGGGGGCUUUCUGAAAUAAUACCUAUCAUCAACACAUAUAACCAUCAUUGACUCACCUAGGGUUUUAACGCAACUGUUCUGGGACUCCUCCAUCACCCAUUCCCCGCCGCCCCUCAUCACCCAUCAGAAAAUGGUUAAGGGACGCCAAGGAGAGCGCGUCAGGUCAUCUAAUUUUCCGACUCCAUCUCCAUUUUCCCCUUAUUCCGUAAUUUCACUGAAUUUGAUUUUUCUCCCGACUUUUUGGGUUUAACCCCUGCAGGCUUUACGUGAGAGGAACUAUAUUGGGGUACAAGAGGUCGCAGUCCAACCAGUACCCGAACACUUCGUUGAUUCAGAUCGAAGGAGUGAACGCAAAGGAGGAGGUGGCUUGGUACCUCGGCAAGAAGAUGGCGUACAUCUACAAGGCUAAGGUUAAGAAGAAUGGGUGCAGGUUGGACUUGAACUUAGCUCUGACGACGCCGCUGUUACGGUGAAGAAUGGGUGUAGGUUGGACUUGAACUUAGCCCUGAUAACGCCGCUGUUACCGUUAGGUAAGAGCGGCGUUGUCAGGGCUAGGUUCAAGUCUGCCCCCCAAGUCAGUGAGCGGCGUCGUCCGAGCUAAGAGGUAAUAUUAACUGUACUGCUGUUCCUUUAUUUAUCAUUCCUAUUUGGUUUGCUAUUUCUUUUUCUUAAAUGAAUGUUUCUGUAUCCUGAUAUUUCAGGGAUCAAGGGUUCGGGUCUUCAUGUACCCAAGCAAUAUUUAACGUAUUCUUUAUCCGCUUUUUUGAAAAUUUUCCAAGGUUAUGUUUAUGGUUGCUUUUUGGUGAAAAAUUUGUUACCUAUACUUUCAGUGAGAUGUUUCUUUUGCAAUAUCUGAAUUAGAGUUUAAUAAUUUGGGUCAUUUACGGGGAUGCUCUGACUUGUAGAGUUUGGUAAACUGACCAAUUGGUUAGAUUAUGAGUAACUUCAAGGUUGGUCGAUAUUUGGAGUUGAUUUUUUGGGUUGGAGUCUGUAUAUAGGUAUGUGGUCGCAAUUUACUUUUGUUCCUCAUAUUGCUUUCAUAAGCGGUUUCCCUUUGACAAUGACGUGUGCUUGUACUAAUUUUUGAAGCUUUCUUUGUUAGAAUGGUUGUAAGAAGGAGCUGGUUUUUGUGAAGACUUUGCUUGAAGUUUUACACAUCCGUCUUUAUGCAAUACUAAAAUUUGUAGGCUAUAGAGCUCAGCUUGAGUAGCGGAUGGUUUUACCAGAUUUCUUGUGUUGGAUUUUAGUUUUACCAGAUUUAUAGUUAUGGCUUAAAUUUUCAGACAUGCAUCAUUUUAGUGAAUGAUGAGGUAACAUGGAGAAGUUUUUCAUGAGAACAGUUUGUGUGGUUACUGAUGAACAUGACCAAAAAAUGUGGGUUGAGAGAGAGCGAGCAAGAUGCGGAUCUGAAGACAAUACAGAGGAUGUCAAUCAUGCUUAAAAUUGUCUGUGUUACACAAUUCAUCCAAAAUAUGGCUGUUAGAUAUGCAGAAUUGAUGGAGACUUGUGUGCACAACAUGUGGGGGGUAAAAGGUACAGAUUUUGUUAAUUUUCACAAGUAAUAUCCCCUCCACAUUUCAGGAAGCAUGUUAGAAAAGAUGGCACUGUGGCUAGUUUCCAAGUAUUUUGAAACUUCCCCAGUAUAAGUUAUCCAAAGUUACUCAGACACAGUUACUGCGCACUCAUUUUUUAAAAAAUUAUUCCAAAUAAUCUUCAAUCCGGAGGCAUUUCAAAGUAACUUAGCCGGUUCAAUUAAACUGGUAUACUUGGAGGAGGCAUGCACGCAGAACUGAGCCGGUCCACCCUCACCAGGUCGACGCUAGGAAAGCCGCUUCAUGAAAAGGUUCUUCUUUCUCUGCACAUAAAACCUCCUCACCAUUUGCAGUUGAGGUGGGAAAAUAACUAGGGUUCACCUGCCACAUCUGCAGUAAUUACCCCCAAAAAAGAAAAGGAAAGAAAAAUGCCAUUCAUAUAGAAGAUAGAGAGACAGACGGAUUACAGCCAGUUCGAUUCAACUCUCCCCAUCGUCAUCGACAAUGGCGGUUCGUAUUUCCGCAUUGGGUAACAAAAGCCCUGAUUCUUUGGUUCGCUUAGAUUAAUUUGCUUUGUGAAGUUGUGUUUUGAUAAAAUUCCCGAUAAAUCACACCCUUCAAUUAUGAUUUGGUCUUGUGAUAGCUGGGCAGGGGAGGAUGAGCCUCGGGUUAUAUUCCGGAAAAUUUUAGGCCUCGUCAUAAAACCACUGGUAUCUCUUGAUAUACAUAUGUUCACAUAUAUUUGUAAUUUUCACUAGUGUAAUUUUUUCGGCAUUAUGCCAAUGUUAAUCUCUCUGCCUGUGAAGUUGGAUUUGAACUGAAUAUACCAUUGUGCUAGAUUUUUCCCCAAUCUUCUUCUUCUUCUUCUUUUUUCCUAUUUGAGCAUGGCAUGAAUGAUGGAAAACUUGUUUUUAACCGGUAGGCUGGAUAUCACUUGUAUAUACUGGCUCAACAUAAGCAAAAAUUCAUGGGUCAUGUGCUUGCCAAAUUUCUUUUACCAAAGAUUUGAUUUUUGAUGAAGAUGAAUAAGCUUCAAAUGUCUUCCACCCUCAAUUUUUGGUGCUUUCCUGUAAUUGAAUUCUUUUAUUUAUUAUUAUUAUUAUUAUUCAAAUAAUUGCAUGCUAGGUCAGUAUAUCUGCUUCUUUGUUUUUGCUGGAGCACUAGAUUGAGUGUAAUUAAUACAGUCAAAUGAUUUAUGUAUUUACAUUUGUGGCCUUUCCUGUUCCACUCAACCUAUAAUUUAUGAUUUGAAUGGAAAGAACAAAACCUCUGCAUUCACAUGUUUUAGAUUGCAGAGGUUUUGGACUCAUGGGUUCAAAAUGGUAGCUUCACAUGUUUGAAUCUACACGUAGUUCCGAACUUCGACUUUUAUAAUUUGAUUUUACAUCAAUUAAAAGUUUUUUCUGCAUUCUUUCUAAUGCACGUGAAACAGUCACAGUUGUUGGUGAUCAUAACCCAACGCUGCUAAGAUAUUUUGAUUGCACAUGUUCAGGACCUCGUUCAUCUUUUGAUGGCAAUGUCGUUUAUCAGUUUGAGAUAAUGGAAUAUAUAAGUUUCAUUAAUUUUGAGUAGUAACUGGGUUUCAAGUUACCUUGCUGAAACUUUUCACUCUAUAUUCUCCAAUGAAUACUCUUUACUAUAGAAUGGUGAUCAAUUUGUUUCAUAAUUCUAAUAGGAUAUAAAGCACACCCUCUGUGUCCAUAUGCGUCACACAGCAGUUACUUUUACCCUGUCAAUAGUGAGAUACUAAAAGUCGGUAAUUUGUUAGACUCCUAAGAAGUAUGUGUUAUGUGUUACAUAUUGAUAACUUGCUUUCUCAAUCUGCAUCACAAAACUUAUAUCUGUCAUUUUGUAGAAAUGUUCUCAGUGAAUUACCAUCUUGAUUUUAUGAGUAUUUACUAGCCAUAUGCCAAUCUUUGGAGUUUGUUAAGAAUAUAAAAGCCCCAAAUCAUUCUAGCCUUUACUGCUUUACAUAAUAUUACCUGAGGUCACAUAAGCAGUAUGUUUGAUAUUCAAGCAGUUUCCUCCGAAAUCCACCUUACUGUUUAUACAAGUCUGAACUGACUAAUUAACGCCUAAACGCUUAGCUUCAGUCAUAGCAAUUGUAUAUCUUACAAACCGUAAAGUUUAACAUAACAAAGAAACUCUGAUUGGGGGCUGUAGAUGAAUGUAGAAUAAGGCAGAAUACAUGACACAUAAUGUAAUUUUCCUUUUCUUUUUUCAGCUUUUCGUUAAUCCAAAUGUUUGGAUAUCUUAAUAUGUUCCAUCGUUUUAUCCAGGCGUGUGUUUUCGUGCACCCAUUUGGUCCGGUAGUGGUUCAGUCCCCUCCGUGUUACCCCAGAACCUCCUUAGGUUCGCCCCCUCCCCCUUAGUGUAGGAUAGAUUAGAUUAUACAACAGUUGUUGUCUUUGAAAAAAAAAUAACAAUAUGUUCCAUCAAGUUACCUUCAACAUGUUUGUAUGAUGCUAUUUUGCAUUGAUUGGAAACUGAAACAUUUCCGUUUGUUACAUCUACUUUAUGUUCACAGAUCAAGUUGCUGAGUUGUGUGUUUUUUCUUGCAUGUAUAGAUUCUUGACUUCGGUUUUGAUCGAUUAGGUGCUGAUCAGUCGCAGGUACUGCUACAUCACCUUUCAAUUCUUUACUCGGCUAUAUCAAAGUUCUUUUUGGUGUGAUCUGAUGUAAAAUGCAAUGUGAGAUUUAUCAAUUCGGAAGUUGCUGGUUUUUCUUACUGUCAUCAUAUUUUAUGUGAUUAUCCGGUUUUGCUUGCAAAGCUAUAUAUGUUGUAUAGCGUGAAUAGAUAGUAGAUUUAUUCCUGGAGAUCUGUUUGUCAUUGCAUCCACCCCCCCUAGUUUUACUUAUUAAACUUUUGUGACAUUUCGUGCAGACCUAAUGUUUCGUGUUGACUUUUUGUGUCAUAAGCAGAGAUUCUGAUUUGCACUUUAUAUAUAACUGAGGUAAAUACUGUGGGCUCAAAGCAUUGAAUGUCUUCAUUGAUCUCCUUAAAGAAUUUACAAGCUUUCUUUGCAGGCAAUGGUUGACAUCCCAAAAAUGUUGUGGUUUAGAAUAAGCUUUUUAUGUCAAUUUGAUUCAUUUCUUCAUGUUUAUUUUUGUGCAGCUUGUAGAUGUCUGACUUCAUUUGUGUUUUUUGCAAUAUUUAUCGCUUCAUAUUUGAUUCCUGAAUUUCUUGAUUUUAGAUAUCAGCGUUGGAAAUAUUCAUGUAGUUGAUUUGAUGGCAGAACGGAUUGACCAUCCUGUUUUGAUCACCGAGUGUGCUAUCCAGUCUCGUUGUAGAAUGGCAGAACUUCUUUUUGAGUCUUAUGGAGUUCCUUGAAUAGGUAUGCUUGCCAGUUGUUAGUUAACUGAAGCUUCUGCUUGUUUGGGCAAAUAUUUUAGUUACGGUGAAACAGGGAUGCAAACUCUUAAUAUUAUUGUCAACUGCAUGUUUUAUCUUUGUAUGGAUGUAGCAUGAUUGACACACGAUGGUCACAGCGUAUUGUACUUGUAUUUCUCGUUUUAUAUGGUCCGAUGCCAUGAGUGCUUGGACUGUUGCUAUUUUAAUGUAUCACUUACUUUUUACUUUCCCUUUAGCAGCAUUUGGUGUGGAUGCCACAUUCAGCUACAAGUACAACCAACAACUUGGAAUAUGUAAUAGUGAUGGUCUUGCAAUUUGCUCAGGAUUUAUGACUAGUGAUGCUGUUUGGGUAUGCUUCACUUGUUUUUACUGAAGUUCAUAGGGAUUUUGUGGAUAAUUCCAAUUUCAUGGAGCAGUGAGUACAGAAACAUAUCCAUCACAAAUCUCAACUAUGCGUCACUGCCGCAAUUCUUUUGCUGUUCCAUUAAAGGUUAGGUUAGUUUAUUCUGAAGUUCAGUGCCCAUACCAAGUCACUAUCUUGAUCUGGUGCCACUGAGUCUACUAUUGGUAUCAAGUAUGAAAAGACCUACAUUGAAUAGAUUAUAUUCUUCCAGAAGAAACAUGUUGUUCAUGUAGGGUACACCCAUCCUUAAUAAUUUCAUGAAUUUUGCCAUUAACUUUUUGUAGGUCAACACAAAUAUGCUUUGCCUAUGACCUAUUAAAGAAUUAGUUAUCUAUCUGUAUUUGCCGCAUUAUUCGUUGGAUAUGCACAACCUGUAGGCCUGUCCUACAAACCAGCCAAACACCUAAGCUUGAGCUUGGCAUCAUGGAUUCAGCCAAGUACAGCAUCAUGUAGUUCGCAGGUUGCUCAUAGGAGGAUGCCGAAAUUUUACUUUUAAUGGGCAACCUAUAAUUGACUUGUGAUAAAUAUUCUCAAACUAUACGGGGGCAAUACUUUAAUUUUGUAAAGGAGUAUUUUGAAGAAUUCCAAAUUUUCAAGGGGUGGAAAGGUAAUAUCUUGGAUAAGUAGGGUGGGGGUGGUCCCCUACACCCCUGCAACCAAAGGUCUGGGAUGGAUUGCUGGAGAUUAUUGGUGGUGCAAGGUUUGCAGAGUUUGGUGUUUGGCAUAUGUAGCGCCUUGAAUAUAAUAUUUUAGCUCAAGAUGCUUCUUUGAGGCUCAAGCUAGAAGAAAAUGAAUCACUGAGCUAAGAACCAAAUUGAGCAGCUUCCUUCUCACUGGGGACUAGGAAUGUUUGAUAGCUGAGCAAUGGUUUACUGUGGGCAAUUAAGAAGCCAGAAUAACAAAGUGAAACAUUAACACCUGCAUGUAAUACCAGUUAAUGUAUUCAGUCUCUGAUACUUAUCCUAGUGUUAUAUGAAGUACUGCACCUUAACAACUUGCAAUGGUCUACAAUGUAUAUGUGUAAGUUUGAAUUCUUAUCCAUUUUUCCUAUCACAGUUCAUAAAUGGAGAACCUGCUUACGAAGCAUGUUGCCGAACUAGUGUUGGUGGAUACCAUGUUACCGAUUAUCUGAAGCAGCUUCUUUCACUUAAAUAUCCCCAUCACAUGUAAGCUUGAGAAUGCCGGUCCCUCUGUAAAUGCAAUUGGAACUUUUCUUCAUUUGUUUUGUAGUCUUGAUCGCUUAUUUUUUUUAAAACAGUUCUAAGCUCACAUGGGAAAAAGUUGAAGACCUUAAGAUGGAACACUGUUACAUUGCAUCAGAUUAUACAUCAGAAGUCCGAAUAUUUCAGGUAGUGUAGUUUGGUCUUUCUGACUUGUCUGCAACUAUUCUGCUUUGCUUCUGCAAUCAUCUAAGCAAUUCAACUUGUAGCAGAAAGGGGAUAAAGAAGCUGAAGAAAAGACCAGGUGCUGGCAGCUUCCUUGGACUCCUGCACCAGCUGAAGAACAACCUUCAGAAGAAGAGCUAGCUGGAAAGGCUGCUCUAAAGGAGAGACAGGGUCAAAGACUAAGGGAGAUGGCUGAAGCAAAGAGGUCCUCUCGAAUUAAUGAGCUUGAAAAUGACAUUAGAGGUUUGGAAUUCCUCUUAAAGCAGCUCAAGCUGGUUGAAGAGAAUAAUGUUCCUGCAUUUCUAAAGAGAGACUGGCUAUGCCUCUAAACAGGAAAUAGAAUCUAAUCUGGCAAAGGCAAUACAAUCUUUAUGCAAAGCAAAGGGCGAACAAGUUGAAACUGAGGAGAAGAUGGACGCUUCCACGGCUGACAAGUAUAAUCUUGUCAAUGUGCCUGACAAUGUGCUGACACCAGAGCAGGUGUGUGUUCCGAUUCCAUGUGUUCUAACAGAUCUUUGUCUUAUAGUUUCUGUUGAUUUUGGUAUUUUCUACUGCACAGCAAUUUCUAGUUAAACAAGAUACAAGAGCAGUGAAUGGCUGCUAAAUUGGAACCACAGUAUUGUUUUCAUGUAAUGUUCGUAACUUUCAGAAAUUUAAAUUUUUCACUCUUGUUUCCAUGGCAGCUUAAAGAGAAAAGGAAGCAGUUGUUUCUCAAAUCCACAACUGAGGCCAGGCAACGAGCUAAACAGAAGCGGAUUGAAGAGGAAUUAGAAAGAGAAAAAGCAAAUGAAAAUGGAGGAGGAAAAGCGCUUGUAUGUUUGUGAUUCGCAAGCUUAACUUGUCUAAUCAUUGCUUGAUGAUAUUGUAGAUAUGUGGUCUCUUUUACGUUGUAUUGUCAUUACAUUAUGCUUUGCUUCUGAAUGUAGAGAGAAGCCAGACGUGAUUUGGAGGAUUUACGUGCUAAAUACCGAGAGCUUUCUGAGAGAGUGGAGCAGCGAAAACGCUUGAAGCCAAAUGGCAACAACACAAAUGGGAACCAAAAUGGUUCUGGAGGUGUGGGCCGUGGUGAAAGAUUGAAUGUUGCUCAAAGAGAGAGGAUGCGCCUCCUGACAACAGCUGCAUUUGAUCGAGGGAAGGGCGAGGACACUUUUGGUAGCAUUUGGGAGUUUUGUGGGGUAGAAAAUGAUGGAAAGCAUUUGAUUUGGAUAAAUGAACUCCUACUAUUAUGGUUACCACCGAAUGUGGGCGGAAAGCAUCGAAAAAAAGCUAAGAAUGCCUAAUAAAAUUUUUCUAAAUGCCAAUUUUGUUCUCAAAUGUGUGCUGAAUAAAUUUUUAUUAACACACACACACACACACACACACACAUAUAUAUAUCCAAAAUCAUCACUAAUCCUACCUUAACUCAAAAACAAUAUUAAAAUCUAAUUUUUUUCCUUUCUCUUCUUUUCUUUUCUUUCAUAAUGUAGCAUUUUCUAUCAUUUGUUUUCUAAUCUAAACAUCCAAAUUAACUAUAAAUAUUAGAAUUUGAAAGAUUUUGAAAAGAAAUUGAACGAUACAAAGUAUGAUAUUUUUAAAGAAAAAAUUCACAAUAGAUGGCUAAUGAUAAAAAAAUAGUAAAAUUUGUUCAAAACGUACAUCAUAUUUUACAAAAUAAUUUUUUCGUCCUUCAUUUAAAAAAGUGUAUUUUUACGUUUCUUACAAAUUGAUAUUGAACAAUUUUGGUACCUACCUAAAUUUUUGACUAGUUUUUUAUUGGAAUCUAUCACAUGCUUUACACAUGAUCAUUUUUUAAGGACAAGAUUGUCAAAUUAAAAUUUACAUAAUUUGAUCCAUAGUUCCUCAUAUUUAACAAAAUAAAAUUUUGUCUCUCAUAUUUCACAAAAUAAAUUGUAUCAUCUCUCAUAUUUUAUAAAAUAAAUUUUUUCAUCCCUUAUUGACUAUGUGUACAAAUAAUUUUUUAAAUCUAACUAAUUUUACUUAAAUAAUAUGAAUAGCAUGUAAUUUAUUUUUAUUUGCUUUCAUCUAAGUAGACUAAUUGUAGUUAUACACAUGCUAUUCAAUAGAUAUAUACAUUGGUUUAAAAAUAAUAAUUUUAUUUUAAAUCAAUAUAUAUUUUUAUUUGAUUUCACCAUGUGAAUCUAUUCAAUAUUUAUGGCUUUUUCCCUUUUGUUAAUAAUUCAUUUAUUGAGUUAUAUAAUAAGGUCAUCUAAUAAAUCGGUCCUAAAUCGAAUUCUAUAGUCAUGCUAACAAAUUGUAUUUUAAAUAUGAAAUUUUGACUCGCCACUUUUAAGAUCAAUAAUUGAAUUAAUUGGUUUGUGAUUGUUUUAAAAUUUGAAAGUGUCAAUCAUUUACUUCUUUUGUCAUACUUUUCCUUCGUUUCUUUUUUCUGUUCAAAUUUAAUUCAAUAUAAACACUUGAUAAUAUUUAGAAUUAAAUGUUUUCUUUGUUUUUAAUUUUUGAAUAAAAGUAAAAUGAACAUGAGUAGAAAAUUAACAUUUUUUUAAACUUCUUUAUAUAUCUAUUUAAUUUCACUUGAAUAUUACAUUCAGACGAAAUUAAAUAAAGAUAUAUUAUAUGCUAUUUAUAUUGUUCAUGUGAAAUUAAAUAGACAUAUAUACAUGAGUUACUUUUUAAAGUUAUUUGCAUAUAUGAUCAAUGAUGGAUAAAAAAAUUUAAUUUAUAAAAUAUGAGGGUCGAAACAAUUCAUUUUGUAAAAUGUGAGAUAUUAUCAAUCAGAUUAUGUAAAUUUUGAUUUGCUAAUUUUGUCCUUAAAAAUGAUCACGUGCAAAGCACGUGGUGGAUUCCAAUAAAAAAACUAGACGCAAAUUUAGGUAGAGAUGAAAUUUGACAAAUAUGAAUUUGUUAGGGACGUAAAAAUACACUUUUAAAAGUGAGAAACAAAAAAUUCAUUUUGCAAACUAUAAGAGGUGUUUCGAACGAUUUUUCCUAAAAAAAUAUAAAAUAUGCUAUGUUUUAUUGAUUUAUUUCUUUAAUUUACGGGUCUAUUAUUUCACAUGUUUUACAAGAAAUUUUCAUCAUUUGUAAUUUACAGGGAAAAUAAGUGCUAUUUUCAAAUAUUCCGGGGAGGGUAGCGAAAUUGAUAGAAAUCUAAAGGGGGGUUUCUGAAAUUAUACCUAUCAUCAACACAUAUAACCAUCAUUGACUCACCUAGGGUUUUAACGCAACUGUUCUGGGACUCCUCCAUCGCUAGCUACAAGCAGCCCCAUCACCCAUUCCCCGCCGGCCCUCAUCACCCAUCAGAAAAUGGUUAAGGGACGCCAAGGAGAGCGCGUCAGGUCAUCUAAUUUUCCGACUCCAUCUCCAUUUUCCCCUUAUUCAUUAAUUUGAUUUUUGUCCCGAUUUUUUGGGUUUAACCCUGCAGGCUUUACGUUAGAGGAACAAUACUGGGAUACAAGAGGUCGAAGUCCAACCAGUACCCGAACACUUCGUUGAUUCAGAUCGAAGGAGUGAUCACAAAGGAGGAGGUGGCUUGGUACCUCGGCAAGAAGAUGGCGUACAUCUACAAGGCUAAGGUUAAGAAGAAUGGAUCUCAUUACCGCUGCAUUUGGGGAAAGGUUUGCCGGCCUCACGGUAACAGCGGCCUUGUCCGAGCCAAGAUGAAGUCCAACCUGCCCCCCAAGUCAAUGGUAAUACUAACUGUACUGAUGUUCCUUUAUUUAUUUUUCCUAUUUGGUUUGCUAUUUGUUUUUCUUAAAUGAAUGUUUCUGUAUUUUGAUAUUUCAGGGAUCAAGGGUUCGGGUCUUCAUGUACCCAAGCAAUAUUUAAGGUAUUCUUUAUCCGCUUUUUUGAAAAUUUUCCAAGGUUAUGUUUAUGGUUGCUUUUUGGUGAAAAUUUUGUUACCUAUACUUUUCAGUGAGAUGUUUCUUUUGCGAUAUCUGAAUUAGAGUUUAAUAAUUUGGGUCGUUUACAGGAUGCUCUAACUUGUAGAGUUUGGUAUUAUGAGUAACUUCCAAGGUUGGUCGAUAUUUGGAGUUGAUUUUUUGGGUUGGGAGUCUGUAUAUAUAGAUAUGUGGUCGCAAUUUACUUUUGUUCCUCAUAUUGCUUUUAUAAGUUGGAUUCUGUAUAUAUAGAUAUGUGGUCGCAAUUAAUUUUUGUUCCUCAUAUUGCUUUUAUAAGUGGUUUCCCUUUCACAAUGAUGUGUGCUUGUACUAUUUUUUGAAGCUUUCUUUGUUAGAAUGGUUGUAAGGAGGAGCUGGUCUUUGUGAAGAAUUUGCUUGAAGUUUUACACAUCCGUCUUUAUGCAAUACUAAAAUUUGUAGGCUUAUAGAGCUCAGCUUGAGUAGCGGAUGGUUUUACCAGAUUUCUUGUGUUGGAGUUGAGUUUUACCAGAUUUAUAGUUAUGGCUUUAAUUUCAGACAUGCAUCAUUUUAGUGAAUGAUGAGGUAAUAUGGAGAAGUUUUUCAUGAGAACAGUUUGUGUGGUUACUGGUGAACAUGACCAAAAAAUGUGGGUGGAGGGAGAGCGAGCAAGAUGCGGAUCUUAAGACCAUACAGAGGAUGUCAAUCAUGCUUAAAAUUGUUUGUGUUACACAAUUCAUCCAAAAUAUGGCUGUUAGAUAUGCAGAAUUGAUGGAGAUUUGUGUGCACAACAUGUGGGGGGUGAAAGGGACAGAUUUUGUUAAUUUUCAUGAGGGGACUUUGAUUUGUUAAGUAAUAUCCCCUCCACAUUUCAGGAAGCAUGUUAGAAAAGACGGCACUGUGGCUAGUUUCCAAGUAUUUUGAAACUUCCCCAGUGUAAGUUAUCCAAAGUUACUGCAGACACAGUUGAAAGCAAUUUUGUUGAUCGGCGCAGAUUUAUCCUAAUUUAAUAUAAUGAGUUAGAUUAGCAUUCAAUAGCUUUAAGUUGACUUCUUUUUGGACACAGUUUGAUAUUCUGCUGCUGGGGCACUGAUGUGUAAUGUUUAGCUUGCGGGGGGUUUCUCAUAUGCAUGUAUGCUACAUUUUCCAUGUUUGACCUGUUCCAUCUGGCUAUGACUAGAUUUUUGCAAUUUGUUGGAGCUCCUGAAAUUUGAUAACUGCGUCCAUGCUGUGGAGUGGUACACUAGACAUUCAGAAGCUACUCCUGAUUUUUGUGAUCAUUAUCUGUUUCUACUGUUUCCAUUCUUAGUGUUGCCUUGAAUUAGGUUUUGUUAAAUUGGUAUGGAGUCGUUUUUGACUAUUUGCUUGGCUACUAGUCAUUUGUUUGGACAUUUACAGUUUUCUUAUGUUGUUGCAGUGUUCCAGCAAAAGUAGGAGCAGACUGCUUGAGGUCAUUGGUGGCUUUAGAAGGUCAUUGGUGAUUGAAGGACGGUAUUUAGAGUCAAAAUAUACCCCUUUUUUUGUGGACUUACCCUGGUCUCUGAAUUUAUCAUGUUUGUUUAAUACUAUGAAUUGAACAUGCAAUCUGAUGAGACAAAUUUUGAUUGUUUGGAUUUAUCCUUUUUCACUUGGGUGUUUUUGAUCGUUAGUCAACCAGAAUUAUUGUUGAUUCGUCUCUUCAUGAUGUGACUGUGGGUAUUGUUUGAGGUUAGCUUCCUUCUGAUUUUCUCGAUAAUUUGCUGUCGAUCAAAUCAGUUGGGAACGUUCCUACCCGGUUCUUGUUUACAUCUGGUACGCGAAUCUGUUAACGAUAGCUCUUCUUCCUCUGACUUUUUCCCAAGAAAAUUGUUGAACUAAAGAGACUCUAUAGUGAAUAAUAAGUGCGGCUUCUUAAUUCUUAUACUGGAAGGUAUGUCUGCAUCGGCAGGUGGUUUUUUUUUUUUUGGUUGGCCCGCUUUCGAACUCUUUUACCUCUUUCUUUUGACAAUUUCUUAACAGGUUAAUUACCUUUACCUCCCUCAAUUUUUUUCUGUAUUUCAAUCAGCCCCUUCGGUGUGAUCAAAUUACAAAUUCAUCCCCCAAGAUCAAAAUUUCAAAACUAUCACACCCUUACCAUUUGUUCUAUAACGUUGACCACAUAAUCAUGUUUCCAAUAUAUGAGCAAAGAUUUAUCGUGAAAGUCCUAAAAUGUCCAUGUAAACCCGAAGUUCUUCUUUUCCUGUGUUUUCAUGCGCAAUUAAGUGGGCCUUGGAGAUAAAAAUUAUGGAGGCGCCUCCAAGCCAAAUGCUUCGAUUUUGCAAUAAUACAACAAAAUUUCACUAAAAUAGAUCACAAUUCUUCUAGGAAAUAAAGAAAAAUUAAGUUUAUCAAAAAUUGAGAAGCCCAAAGAAUUUGUUCCAAAAAUUUAUGAAAAUAUAAAGGGAAAAAAAAUAAAUGAUUUACAAAAUAAAGGACAAUAAGCUAUUAGUUCUUUAGAGCAAGUCUUAAACGGUACAUGCAAACUAGGAUAAUCUCAAGGGAAAAAAGGGAAAAGAGGAAUGAGGUUUAAUAGAUGAUUUUUGCAAUUUCACCGAAAUAUGCAUACCCAAGCACUCAAAUUGCCGAUCUACCAUAAUCUUCAUCAUAUCCAUCUCAAACACCAUAAAAUCUUCAGAACAUUUAGGGUGAAUUAAAAAUAAAUUCUAACCGGCUUUCAAAUUUAUCCAAAAUUUAGUUUAUCGUGGUAUGAUUUCUCAAUAUUGUAUGCUUUUUUGGGUCUUGUGUAUUUCAAUGGAGGCUAGAAAAAGACGGGAGGGCAGAAGGUUAGCGGGUGUCUUGGUGAUUGGUGAAGCAUACUUUGCAAUCAGAUUUUGCAGCAUCCCAGACUACAAGGGGUAAGAUCGAGGGGCAUGAAGGUAGGAUCUUGAGAGCUUGGACAAUAUAUCAAGAAUUGUAGGGAUGGAAGAAUUCUUCAGUCUUUCUUUGUUCUUUCUUCCUCAUUGAUUUUUUUCUUCUAGCCCCUGCUUGUUUCUUUGAAGCAAAAUUCUCUGUCUUUGGUUUCUGGUAGCUCAUUUACUAAUUUCAUUUUUGGCAUGUUUUAGAUGACGGUAUUGUUGUACCUUUGUAACAUCCGUUAAUUGGGUUUAAACAGUGUCAUUUGUAUGGGGUGAUUGUUAUUUGAUUAAAACUCAAGGUUUAUUUUGUAGUUUGGCUGAACCUCCGAGGAGUUGUAUGUAAUUAACCCUUCCUUAACCUUAAUCUUUUCUAGUUACUAUUUCGUUUCCUUAAAAAUGAUGUUAAAAAUCAAACUGUCUGCAUUGGCAUCCAAGAAUGUGAGAAUAUGGGGUUAUUUUGAUGGGUAAAAACUUGAGUAAAUUUGGUUUUCAAAAAUUCAAUGAUUCAGAAUGCGUCACUUUUCGAAUUAUUUGCAUUCGCAUCAAAGAAUAUGAGAAUGUGGGGUUAUUUUGAUGGGUAAAAGUUGGGAUGAAUUUGGUUUUCAAAUAUUCAACGAUCAAGAUUGUGUUAUAUUACUUGGUAAGCGAGGUGACACAAUUUAGAUUAUUGAAUUUUUGAAAAUUGCAAGUGAUUUAACAUAAUUUAGAUCAUUAAAUUUUUUAAAAUUGCAUCUACUCAAGUGUAAGUAAUUUUAACAUGGAUCAAUCUUCUUCUUGUGGAACGACUUGCAGGGGUAACUUGGUUCUUUAUUUUUUCUUCUUUUGGAUAACUGUCAAAUUUUACAUUUCCGACUUUUUUAUUGUGCUUAAGUUGUCCAUUUAUCCUUGGAUCAUUUUGCUUACGGAGCAUUGGCCGUCCCCUAGAAAAAGUCCAGCACCUCGAGAACUUGGAACAACAAAAUCCCGAUGGGGCGUGCGGAAUGGUAGGCCUUUGAUGGAUGAAGACCCCGUCAUCACCAACUAGGGUUGCAAACGAAUCGAGCCGCUCACGAGCGGUUCGAGUCAAGCUCGAGCCAGUUCGAGUCAAACUCGAGCUCGAACUCGAGCUAAGAAUAUUAAACUCGUUAGGCUUGCGAGCUUGAGUAUAUAUACAUAUAUAUAUAUAUUUUUUAUUUUUAUUUAAUAAUAAAAUUAUGUAUAUUAUAUAUUAUAUAUUUUUUAUUUUCAUAGUAAAAUUACGUAUAUAUCCUUAAUAUUUUAUUAUUUAUUCAGAAAAAAUAUUAUAUUAUUUAUUUUUUAAAAAAUAAAUUUUUUAUUUUUUUCGAGCUCGACUCGACUUGAUUUGAGUCGAGCUCGAGCUCGAAAAUUGUCGGCUCGUCGAGCUCGAGUUUGGUAAAAUUUAGUCGAGUCUCGACUCGAUUAGCUCAAAACUCGACUCGACUCGACUCGUUUGCAGCCCUAUCCCCAACACACCAAAAAAAGAAAAAAAAAAAAGGAAAGAAAAGAGCAACAAAUGAUUUGAAGAGAAAAGUGAGGAAAGGAAGCGCGUUAAAAGUGACAUUGUGAAAGAGGAAGCGUUGCCAAUUUGUUUCGGGCCAGAUUUUAAUACCAGUAUGAGCCCUUUAUGUGUUACUCUGUUUAUCUCGUCUAGGGAUGGCAACGGGGCGGGGUUGGGGCGGGGGACCCCUCCCCCGUCCCCCGCCUCCAGCUCCCCCCGCCCCGCCCCCACGCCCGCCUUGCCCCGCUUCCCCCACGGGGGCACCCGCGGGGUUAAUAAAAUUUUAUUAUAUAUUUUUAUUAUAAUUAAAUUUUAAUAAAUAAUCAAGUACUAAAAUAUCAACACAUCACCAAAUUAUUAUUCAUUGUAAUUUUACAAUUGAAACUCAUAAAAACAAUCAAACAUAAGUUAUUUGAAUACAAUCCAAUAUGAUGAAAUAAAUAUAACUAAAAUAGUCAAAUUUUCACUUUUAGUACAAAUGCAAUCACUAAUUCAUCAUCGUAUUUGUGUUUUUUUUUUUUGAGAAAAAAGUGUUAUUCUAUUAAGUGUAAUUAGAAAUUUAGUAUAAAUGUAUUAGUAAAUUUAGUAUAACUAAUUAAAAAAUUCUAUUAGUAGACAUGUAUAAUUAUUCAUAUAAUUGAUAAUAUCAAUUAUAUUAUAUAAACUAAUAUACAUUAUAUAAUACAUCUAACUAAUAAUAUCAUUAUCAUAAGUUUAUAACUAAUUAACUUACAUAUAAUAUAUAGUCAUUUAUAUAUAUAUAUAUAUAUAUUUUUUACGGGUGCCGGGGCGGGGGAUGGGGCGGGGAAGUAUACCCCCGCCCCGUUUCUAAGCGGGGGGAAAAAAUUCCCCCCUGCCCCAACCCCGCCCCGUGAACCCCCCGCUGGGCGGGCACCCGCCCCCAUUGCCAUCCCUAAUCCCGUCGCGUUCUGAUGUUUGUUGGAGUAAAAUGAAAAUUGGUUCUCAAAGAAUCAAGCAGGCACGACACAUUUUACUAUUUAUCCAGUUGCUGUUAUUUACACACAUCAUCAAAUACCAAAACCAACAAAUAAAAAGGAAAAAAAAUGUUAUUUGAUAGUGAUUUUCUAUCAUAACCAUCCCCAUUUUUUUGAUUGAGUGACGUAUUUUUUAUUUUAAGUUUUAACUGACUAGUUUUUUGAUUAAUUUUUGUAAAAAAAAAUAUAUUUGGAAUUUUAUACGAGGUCUCUUUCUUGCCAUAGGAGUUAAGCCAUACUAGUUAGGUUAUCUUUAUAUAUUUUUAUAACAAUAUUAAUAUAACUAUUAUUAUUAGUAGUAGAGAAGAUGUGUGAUUUUAAAUUCUAGCCUCUGAACCUUAAUCACUUUGAAUCAAAAUGACAUAUGAUCAUGACCUCUUAUCCUUAACCCCCUAGACCAAGGAGUUUGAACUCUAGUUUUGAUAUAAAUUUUUGUUCGUGGUGCCCCUAUAUUUUACCUUGAAAAUUCAUCGGGCAAAUUGUAUUGAUUUUUUUAUCUAACAAAGUUGCCCCUACACUUGCAACGAAGAACCAAAUUUAAUUCUCUCACUAGAAGUUUAAGCGCAUGUUGUUAUAAUAUAACCAUCAUAAAAAUUGUAACUAACAAAAUAAUUGUAAUUUGAUAGAAACAAAUUUUACAAGGUCAUAGUUUUGCCUCUUUUGUUAAAUCAAUUAUAAAAGGACAUUAUUUAUACGCAUAGUAGGUAAGCCCUUAACAAUAUUCUAAGUAAACUUAAAAAAAGGUGAAAGCGUCGUCUUGAAAUAAUGUUAAGCAUAAACAUGAUAGUUUACUAAGAAUCAAUUGAUGAAAUUAACAUGAUUUGCUAAUGAAUGUAAUGUUUCUCACGUUUUAAAAAGAACAAACAGGGUUGCUGGUUGAUAUUUUCUUAUCAUUAAUAUUUAAUACCAAAAAUUUAGAAGCCUUUAUUCCUCAAAAUAAUAGCAUCUACAAUUAGGGGUGGGCACGGGUUGGGUACCCGUCCCUAACAUAAUUUGGCUGACUAGACCUUAAUAUAUCGGAUCAGUCAUUUUGCGACUCUAACCUGCUCCUAAUGUUUUCGGGUACCCGAAUAGCGGGUAUCCCAAAAAAAGGGGACGGGUCAUAGGAUACCUGCGUCUAAAAAAAACUAUUUUCCAAUAAAAAAAUUUAUUUUUCAUUUAAUAUCAACAUGUUUUUUAAUAAAGUCCAUAUAUCAUCAUUCUCACACAUUUCAUCAAACAAUCAAAUCGAUCUCAUAAAUUUAUUACAUAUUAGAAUUAUAAUAUCUAAUGGACAAAACGAAAUUUUAUAAUAAUUUUGAGUACAUCACCAUUCUCACACAUUUCAUCCUUAUACAAUACAACAAACACAAGGAUAAUAAGUAUUUGGUAACUUUCCCAACUUCCUUAAGGAUGUUAUGGUACAAUACUACAUCCCAAAUAAGUUGAUUGUGAAAUCAAGUUCGGAAAAGAAUUGAAUAUAACUAACUAUUUUUUCGAAAAUAACCAAAAUAACCUUAAAAAAUCUUCCCCAACUUCUUUACAUAUUUGGAAUAGACCUUAUGGUAUUAAAGGUGAUGAAAAAGAAAAAUAAAUUUCUUAAACGAGACAAAUUUAAGAGACAUAGUUGCAAUAAAAUAAAUAAAUAAAUGAAAAAGGCAAAUGUUUUAAUUAUCUAGCUAACAGAAAAUUGAAACUCCAAACACAAAUUUUUAAUUGAAUUGAUGCAAAAUUUGCAGGAAAGAUCGAUGAAGGUAGAAUAAAAAUAAAAAGAAUGAAAGGGAUGAACAAUUUUUAUAAUAGAGUUUCACAAUUUUUUUUUUAUUUUGUUCAGUUUGUUCGUGUUUCACCGAGAAUAUUUGCUUUCUUCAAACAAAAUGAGGAGAGGUGGAUUAUACAGAAUUAGAAUAUGAGGCUGUAAGCCACUUCACUUGUCCUUAAAAUUAAAAAUUACAAAGUUAUAAAAUGAUCUAUAAUUUUUUAAUAUUUAUAAAAUAUACCUUGUGGGUCGGGUACCCGCGAUUUUUUUUUAUCCGUACCCGUACUCGAUUUUUGCGGGUACCCGACCCUCAUCUGCCCUGCUAAGAAAAAUCGGAUCGGAUUCAUUGGAUUUUUGGAUCGACCGAUUUUUUUGCUCACCCCUAUAUGCAAUAACUAAUAGAUAAGUUUUUAUUCCUCAAAGAAUGUGAUUUUGAUAUUGUAGGAGUUAUUUGUUUUUUUAUCAAUCGUCAUUCCUAUUCCUACUCUAUCAUAAUCUAUUUAGGGGAGAUUCAACUGGGCCUAUAAAGAACCGAUAAGGAUAGAAUCACUAUUGAACUAGACAAAGUGCACUACGCGCCCAUCUGAAUUUAAAGAACCAUAUAAUGUCAUUGGUGAGAAUCAAGUUCGAACCCUUGUCCAAUAUAAAUUGGAAAAUGAAAUGGCAUCAGAAAACAAAUGAAUUUGGAAUGAAGACCUCUUGUCCCCAAUAUAGUUCCUCUCACCUAGGGUUUUACCGCAACUCUCCUCGGACUCCUCCAUAAGGACCAUAACUAGCUACAAGCAGCCCCUUCCUCACCACCCAUCAGAAAAUGGUUUAGGGACGCCAAGGAGAGCGCGUCAGGUCAUCUAAUUUUCCGACUCCAUCUCCAUUUUCCCCUUAUUCAGUAAUUUGUUUAAUUGAACUUGAUUUUUCUCCGCAUUUUUUGGGUUUAACCCUGCAGGCUUUACAUGAGAGGAACUAUAUUGGGGUACAAGAGGUUGCAGUCCAACCAAUACCCGAACACUUCGUUGAUUCAGAUCGAAAGAGUGAACACAAAGGAGGAGGUGGCUUGGUACCUCGGCAAGAAGAUGGCGUACAUCUACAAGGCUAAGGUUAAGAAGAAUGGAUCUCAUUACCGCUGUAUUUGGGGAAAGGUUUGCAGGCCUCACGGUAACAUGGAGAAGUUUUUCAUG